UAAAACAAAAGUUUCAUUUUUUGAAUUAAAUUAUGGAAAAAAAUGGUCUUUUCCACGAUAUCCUAACAGGAAGGGCAAUGAUCGUUCAGCGUGAAAAUAUCCGCCAGACGCUACAGAAACUGGGAAGCUUGCUUCUGGAAGGGCGAAAGAUUUCCACCUUGAAGAAAAUGGAAGACUUCAUCUAUCCUUCCAACUUCUUCCAUUUAGUGAAUGCAGUCUAGCGGGUUGUAAGUUUUAUCGAAGAGGAAAAUUAUUUCCGGAUUCCCUCGCUCGCAUUAAAGCUAGGGCACAGCCAAAUAUAGUGGCAUGUGAAGAACUGAUUGCCAGAAAAGACAACAAAGCCAAGCUUGUGAAAAGCUUCACUGAACUUUACAAGACAAGAUGGAAUUAAGUUAUUUCAUCUCAUUCCUACAGAACACUGAACGAGGCAAAGUGGAAUGUGCCAAAGCUUAUUCCCUUUACGGAUGAAGUGACAAAGCUCCACCUGCACCUCGAUGAGAAACAAACAACAUACUAUCGCCAACUGUCUGCUGACAUCAACUCAAAGAACUGGAACAACCAGUUUGCUUUUUUUCAGAACCAGUGGUGCCUGAAGGUGCUGAGGAACAGACAUCUGAUGGUGAAGAACCAACUAAACACAGCAGACAGGUCAUCAUUUAAGAUCAAACACAGACAGGUCAUCAUUUAAGAUCAAACACAGACAGGACAUCAUUUAAGAUCAAACACAGACAGGUCAUCAUUUAAGAUCAAUGAAAAAUAGGUUGCGCUUCUAAUCUGAGGCUGCAGAUAAAAUUAGAUAGGGGAUGUCCAUCUGUAUACAAAGACAGUAAAUCUAAGUUGUGCCUAAAAUGCCUUUAUUGGGGUUGUUCAGCUUCAGGGACGACCAAGAAGACCACCACAGACUCGGCAGGUUCUACAGAUAUGAAAACAAUUUGGAGAAGUGAUAUUGGCUCAGCCCUGCGAUAGACUGGUGACCUGUCCAGGGUGUAUUCCUGCCUUUCGCCCAAUGUAUGCUGGGAUAGGCUCCAGCCCCCCUGCGACCCUGAUCAGGAUAAGCGGGUUCAGAUAAUGGAUGGAUGGAUGGAUGGAUAUUGGCUCAUCGGAAGUCCCAGUCUGGCUAUAUUGAUAGGGACCUGUGCUGAAGAGCACCCUCCUCUGCUCAUCUUUGAUGGGGACAAAAGCCACCUGCACCUGGAGGUGACUGAGAAUGUCACAAUGCCGUCCACCACACUGCUCCCAUGUCCUGCAGCUGUUGGACAUGGGGUUCUUUGGGCCACUGAAUGCAGAGUUUGCCAAGGCGACUGGCAACCUAUGCCAU